rnacentral:miRNA from 1 species
UGAGGCAGGAGAAUUGCUUGAACCCAGGAAGUGGAGGUUGCAGUGAGCCGAGAUCACGCCACUGCACUCCAGCCUGGGUGAUAAAGCAAGACUCCAUCU